rnacentral:rRNA from 1 species
GGGAAUAUUGCACAAUGGAGGAAACUCUGAUGCAGUGACACCGCGUAUAGGAAGAAGGUUUUCGGAUUGUAAACUAUUUUAGACAGGGAAGAAAAAAGACAGUACCUGUAGAAUAAGCUCCGGCUAACUACGUGCCCGCAGCCGCGGUAAUACGGAGGGAGCAAGCGUUAUCCGGAAUUAUUGGGUUUAAAGGGUGCGUAGGCGGGCUGUUAAGUCAGCGGUCAAAUGUCGGGGCUCAACCCCGGCCUGCCGUUGAAACUGGCGGCCUCGAGUGGGCGAGAAGUAUGCGGAAUGCGUGGUGUAGCGGUGAAAUGCAUAGAUAUCACGCAGAACUCCGAUUGCGAAGGCAGCAUACCGGCGCCCUACUGACGCUGAGGCACGAAAGCGUGGGUAUCAAACA